CUACGGGGGGCUGCAGUGGGGAAUAUUGCACAAUGGGCGCAAGCCUAAUGCAGCAACGCCGCGUGAGGGAUGAAGGCCUUCGGGUUGUAAACCUCUUUUAGCAGGGAAGAAGUGAAAGUGACGGUACCUGCAGAAAAAGCACCGGCUAACUACGUGCCAGCAGCCGCGGUAAUACGUAGGGUGCAAGCGUUGUCCGGAAUUAUUGGGCGUAAAGAGCUCGUAGGCGGUUUGUCACGUCUGCUGUGAAAAUCCAAGGCUCACCCUUGGACUUGCAGUGGGUACGGGCAGGCUCGAGUGCGGUAGGGGAGAUGGGAAUUCCUGGUGUAGCGGUGGAAUGCGCAGAUAUCAGGAGGAACACCAAUGGCGAAGGCACAUCUCUGGGCCGUAACUGACGCUGAGGAGCGAAAGCGUGGGGAGCGAACAGGAUUAGAUACCCGCGUAGUC
rnacentral:rRNA from 1 species